rnacentral:rRNA from 1 species
UACGUAGGGUGCAAGCGUUGUCCGGAAUUAUUGGGCGUAAAGAGCUCGUAGGCGGUCUGUCGCGUCUGCUGUGAAAAUCCAGGGCUCAACCCUGGACCUGCAGUGGGUACGGGCAGACUAGAGUGCGGUAGGGGAGAUCGGAAUUCCUGGUGUAGCGGUGAAAUGCGCAGAUAUCAGGAGGAACCCCGGUGGCGAAGGCGGCUUUCUGGACGACAACUGACGCUGAGACGCGAAAUCGUGGGGAGCAAACAGG